GAUGGACGCUGGCGGCGUGCCUAAUACAUGCAAGUCGAGCGAACAGACGAGGAGCUUGCUCCUCUGACGUUAGCGGCGGACGGGUGAGUAACACGUGGAUAACCUACCUAUAAGACUGGGAUAACUUCGGGAAACCGGAGCUAAUACCGGAUAAUAUAUUGAACCGCAUGGUUCAAUAGUGAAAGACGGUUUUGCUGUCACUUAUAGAUGGAUCCGCGCCGCAUUAGCUAGUUGGUAAGGUAACGGCUUACCAAGGCAACGAUGCGUAGCCGACCUGAGAGGGUGAUCGGCCACACUGGAACUGAGACACGGUCCAGACUCCUACGGGAGGCAGCAGUAGGGAAUCUUCCGCAAUGGGCGAAAGCCUGACGGAGCAACGCCGCGUGAGUGAUGAAGGUCUUCGGAUCGUAAAACUCUGUUAUUAGGGAAGAACAAAUGUGUAAGUAACUAUGCACGUCCUGACGGUACCUAAUCAGAAAGCCACGGCUAACUACGUG
rnacentral:rRNA from 1 species